rnacentral:lncRNA from 1 species
UGGGAAUAACCCAGCUUCUUCGUCGUUCCAAUCAAACCAGGAUGAAUCACUUUGUAAGAAGCUUGAUUUGGAUACAUAAAGUGGUGGAGAAUCACCAGGAAAUUGAAUAAAUCUCAUAAGAGUUGGCAUGAAGAAGUUAUCCCACUUUCAAAUCAGGUGAUUCCAGUUUCCCAGUUUAGGAAUAGCACAGCUUCUUCGUCGUUCCAAACAAACCAUGAUGAAUCACUUUGUAAGAAGCUUGAUUUGGAUACAUAAAGUGGUGGAGAAUCACCAGGAAGUUGAAUAAAUCUCAUAGGAGUUGGGAUCAAGAAGUUAUCCCACUUUCAAAUAACGUGAUUCCAGUUUCCCAGUUUGGGAAUAGCACAGCUUGUUCGUCGUUCCAAUCAAACCAGGAUGAAUCACUUUGUAAGAAGCUUGAUUUGGAUACAUAAAGUGGUGGAGAAUCACCAGGAAGUUGAAUAAAUCUCAUAGGAGUUGGCAAGAAGAAGUUAUCACACUUUCAAAUCAGGUGAUUCCAGUUUCCCAGUUUGGGAAUAGCACAGCUUCUUCAUCGUUCCAAUCACACCAAGGUGAAUAACUUUGUGAAAAGCUUGAUUUGGAUACAUAAAGUGGUGGAGAAUCACCAGGAAAUUGAAUAAAUCUCAUAGGAGUUGGCAUGAAGAAGUUAUCACAUUUUCAAAUCAGGUGAUUCCAGUUUCCCAGUUUGGGAAUAGCACAGCUUCUUCGUCGUUCCAAUCAAACCAGGAUGAAUCACUUUGUAAGAAUCUUGAUUUGGAUACAUAAAGUGGUGGAGAAUCACCAGGAAUUUGAAUAAAUCUCAUAGGAGUUGGCAUGAAGAAGUUAUCCCACUUUCAAAUCAGGUGAUUCCAGUUUCCCAGUUUAGGAAUAGCACAGCUUCUUCGUCGUUCCAACAAACCAGAUGAAUCACUUUGUAAGAAGCUUGAUUUGGAUACAUAAAGUGGUGGAGAAUCACCAGGAAGUUGAAUAAAUCUCAUAGGAGUUGGGAUCAAGAAGUUAUCCCACUUUCAAAUAACGUGAUUCCAGUUUCCCAGUUUGGGAACAGCACAGCUUGUUCGUCGUUCCAAUCAAACCAGGAUGAAUCACUUUGUGAAAAGAUUGAUUUGGAUACAUAAAGUGGUGGAGAAUCACCAUGAAGUUGAAUAAAUCUCAUAGGAGUUGGCAUGAAGAAGUUAUCCCACUUUCAAAUCAGUGAUAGCAUGUGCAUUCCAGUUUCCCAGUUUGGGAACAGCACAGCUUGUUCGUCGUUCCAAUCAAACCAGGAUGAAUCACUUUGUAAGAAGCUUGAUUUGGAUACAUAAAGUUAUGGAGAAUCACCAGGAAAUUGAAUAAAUCUCAUAGGAGUUGGCAUGAAGAAGUUAUCCCACUUUCAAAUCAGGUGAUUCCAGUUUCCCAGUUUAGGAAUAGCACAGCUUCUUCGUCGUUCCAAACAAACCAGGAUGAAUCAAUUUGUAAGAAGCUUGAUUUGGAUACAUAAAGUGGUGGAGAAUCACCAGGAAGUUGAAUAAAUCUCAUAGGAGUUGGGAUGAAGAAGUUAUCCCACUUUCAAAUAACGUGAUUCCAGUUUCCCAGUUUGGGAAUA